AUAUGGCUCCUUCUAAAUAAAUUCUUAAGCUUGGACAGUUUUUGUGUGCAGUGCUGCUCUCGAAAAAUCUGCUUUUAACCACAAAGCAAUAAUGAUUGACGUGCUUGUGACGCAAAGUAUAUAGAGUGGCAAUAAUAAAAAAAAUAAAUAAAAUUGCUUUGUGAUUAUAACGUCCUGUGACAGCUUUGUGGUUGUGCGUGGCCCUGCCUCCAUUACCGCUGUAAAAACAAGCCAGUCUUAUCGUAAUUUUGUUGUAUGAAGGGUUUUUGUUUUUUGUGUAGCGUAAACCUGUGUCAAAGUAAUAUUGGAUUUAAGAACAACCCAACCAUUUAAGUGCAACACAUUUAAUGUAACAUUUGUGGUCAGGAAGGUGUAUGGGCGUGGGAUAGGUGACCGCUGUUGGCAUGGUGACGGGCAGACGAGUGGAGCAUGCAGGGUCCUUCAGUGGUCUCUGAAUUUGGACAGUUUUAAUGUGUGGAACACUCGGUAGCACUAUCUUGGAAGCCAAUUUUCAUAAAUCAUUAUAACUAUACUAAUUAUCAUUUGUAAUGAUUCCUUGUAAGAAUUUUUGCUUACAACUCCUAAUAAUGCCUCAUAAUGUACUGCAUAAAGUACCAUGCAAGUGCCACUAGUGUAAUAAAAAAAUGUGCUGUAAUUCUGCACUGUCAAUACUGUAAUAAAAAAAUCAAUUGUAACAAUGUAAUACAGAACCUUUUAGUAAUAUGGAAACACUUCCAGGUUAAUCCCAGGAAUGACCAGGACGCACGCACGCACACCUACCUACAUUAAAACGUGCUUUCCUUGCAGCUGUAUAGAAGCACUUUUCUGAAGUAAAAACAAAACUUGCUCUUCUCCACUGCAACCCUGCUUCACCCAAGAUAACUAAUGUAGCUAGCUAACGUACUUCAUUUGAAAUCACCUAGCUAAUGUUUACAAAGAGCAAGCACAAGUGCAUGAACAUGCUUGUACUCUGUCUGAAAACAAUGGAAGUGAGGCGUCCCUAUUUACUACAGGUGCUGCAUAUGUAUGUUCUUGUCUUUUUGGUAAUUCAUCUAGAGUUAAAGGUGCAAUAGUCAAUUUAAAUGUCUUACUUGUACAGGUAACCUGGAACAUAUGUAAACCAUGAUCAAAUAUAAAGCUUUACGCCUUGACCUCAGUGCAAGUGUAUUAUGUGGUUAAAAGAAACUGAUUUCUGGUCCAGAAUCUUUGGAUGUGCCUCCUGUCAGUCACCUUUUUUUUUUUUUUUUUUUUUUUUUUUUUUUUUUUAAAAGACACUAUAGGCCACUGUAGAUCCUGAGGGCAGAGCUUUGUGAAAAUUGGCAGGAAUCGCUCAAAUGUUGAAUCCACCAACUAGUGUUUAAAGACGAAUCCUUCCUAGUGCACCUCUUAAGUAUUUCCAUAUUCCAUUACAAAAAUAAAGUUUCAUUUGCGGUACAACACAUUAGCAUGUUAGAGCUUUAUGAGCCAUCGAGGUAUAUAAAAUGCUUACAAGGAAUGAUUACCAGCUUAUACAAUAAUGAUAAGCAGAGUUCUAAACACUUUCAAUAGAAAGUAUUGACUACUGACAAUUACUUAAGGGGCUGAAAAUGGGGGGGGGGGGGGGUAUUUUUGGAUAACACCAAACAGGCUGGCCCUGUUUAACAAAAGAUUAUUGGGUUUGAACCAUUGUGAAAUUUAUUUUUGUUUUUUGCCCCUUUUUGGUUACCCAAGAUCAGUAUUUCCUACAUGGUCCAUCCGCAGUCAUGUGUGGUUUCAGGAGGUGAUUGUGCAAGCUAUUGUUCUUCGGUCACACAAUGAAUUACUCUGCAUUGCCUAGCAACAGUUCAAGUAAAGAGAGCGCAAAUGCUUUCUUUACUUGAACUGCUUCACAUGACUUGACAGAAACUGUAGCCACGCAUACACAAUAAUUUUUUUUUAUUGAUUUCCAGACAGGACAUUCAAAAAAUUCUGAUAUUAAAGUCUCUUUUUCAGCUUUGGGUUGUUAAGAGAUCCACUCGUCCAAACCGUAUUGUUUCCUGAUGUUUCACCACGACCCUGCCAUUGUGUACUACUGGGCACAAAUAUAUUUAAAGCAUGUCUAACAAUGACCAGAUGUACAUAUCAUCUUUUAUAUUCUUUGUAAGACAGCGAAAACAAUACCAUAAUAUAAAUAUUCGUUCUUGUUGGUUGACCGAUGUGUUGUGAUUUGAUGUAAAAUAAUUCAGUCCUAUUUAUUUGAAUAUGAUGAUGAUGAUGAUGAGGAUAUUUUUUGUUUUACGUGUAAUUUUUUAAUUUUUUUUUUUGCCAGAGUUAUUUUUGACAUCAGUUCCUCUUCAUUGAUUGAUUACUUGUCUUUCCAGUAAUAAAGCUUGCCUUGUAUGGCAUUCAUGAAUCUUGGCUCUGUUUUGAUCUGUACUGAUCUGAUUGUGUGCUCACCUACUAUUUUGUAAUCAGAGCGUCAUGUUUUUCCUGAGUAUCCUGAUGUGAACAUUUAUUGCAGCUGGCAUUCUUAAUGACUUCAAACAACAUGUGUUUGUGAGGUGCAUAUGAAGCAGCUGCAAUUAAUGACCAGACGCAUUUACCUCAGAGAGAGACUC
ensembl:lncRNA